rnacentral:rRNA from 1 species
AAGACGUGGCGGAGGCUACACAUGCAGUCGAGCGCGCUUCGGGCGAGCGGCGGACGGGUUAGUAACGCGUGGGAACGUGCCCAGAUCUACGGAAUAGCCACUGGAAACGGUGAGUAAUACCGUAUACGCCCUUCGGGGGAAAGAUUUAUCGGAUUUGGAUCGGCCCGCGUUAGAUUAGGUAGUUGGUGGGGUAACGGCCUACCAAGCCUACGAUCUAUAGCUGGUUUUAGAGGAUGAUCAGCAACACUGGGACUGAGACACGGCCCAGACUCCUACGGGAGGCAGCAGUGGGGAAUCUUGGACAAUGGGGGCAACCCUGAUCUAGCCAUGCCGCGUGAGUGAAGAAGGCCCCAGUGUCGUAAAACUCUUUCGCCUGUGAUGAUAAUGACAGUAGCAGGUAAAGAAACCCCGGCUAACUCCGUGCCAGCAGCCGCGGUAAUACGGAGGGGGUUAGCGUUGUUCGGAAUUACUGGGCGUAAAGCGCGCGUAGGCGGAUUAGAAAGUUGGGGGUGAAAUCCCGGGGCUCCAACCCGGAAACUGUCUCCAAAAACUGCUAGUCUAGAGUUCGAGAGACGUGACUGGAUUCCGAGUGUCGAGGGUGACAUCCGUAGACUUUCGGACGGACCACCCGUGGCGAAGGGCGGCUCCCUGGGUCGAAUACUGAGCGCUGGGGUGCGACCGUUGUGGGACGCAACCGGGAUAUGCUCCCUGGUUGUCACACCGGAAACAUGAUGCCGUCGCGGCUGUUCCU